CCUACGGGUGCAGCAGUGGGGGAUAUUGCACAAUGGGGGGAACCCUGAUGCAGCGACGCCGCGUGGGUGAAGAAGCGCCUCGGCGCGUAAAGCCCUGUCAGCAGGGAAGAAAAUGACGGUACCUGAAGAAGAAGCCCCGGCUAACUACAUGCCAGCCGUCGCGGUACUACGUAGGGGGCAAGCGUUUGCCGGAUUUACUGGGUGGAAAGGGGGCGCAGACGGCGAUGCAAGCCAGCAGUGAAAGCCCGGGGCCCAACCCCGGGGCUGCACUUGGAAAUGCGUGGCUGGAGUGCAGGAGGGGCAGGCGGAAUUCCUGGUGUAGCGGUGAAAUGCGUAGAUAUCAGGAGGAACACCGGUGGCGAAGGCGGCCUGCUGGACUGCAACUGACGUUGAGGCCCGAAAGCGUGGGGAGCAAACAGGAUUAGAUACCCGGGUAGUC
rnacentral:rRNA from 1 species